UACGAGGGGUCCUAGCGUUGUUCGGAAUCAUUGGGCGUAAAGCGGAUGUAGGUGGCUUAGUAAGUCAGAUGUGAAAUCCCAGGGCUCAACCCUGGACGUGCAUUUGAUACUGCUAAGCUUGAAUGUCGGAGAGGUUCGUAGAAUUCCAGGUGUAGCGGUGAAAUGCGUAGAUAUCUGGAGGAAUAUCGGUGGGGAAGCCGGCGGACUGGCCGAACAUUGACACUCAGAUCCGAAAGCGUGGGGAGCAAACAGG
rnacentral:misc_RNA from 1 species